rnacentral:rRNA from 1 species
GAUGAACGCUGGCGGCGUGCCUAAUACAUGCAAGUCGAGCGAACAGACGAGGAGCUUGCUCCUCUGACGUUAGCGGCGGACGGGUGAGUAACACGUGGAUAACCUACCUAUAAGACUGGGAUAACUUCGGGAAACCGGAGCUAAUACCGGAUAAUAUAUUGAACCGCAUGGUUCAAUAGUGAAAGACGGUUUUGCUGUCACUUAUAGAUGGAUCCGUGCCGCAUUAGCUAGUUGGUAAGGUAACGGCUUACCAAGGCAACGAUGCGUAGCCGACCUGAGAGGGUGAUCAGCCACACUGGAACUGAGACACGGUCCAGACUCCUACGGGAGGCAGCAGUAGGGAAUCUUCCGCAAUGGGCGAAAGCCUGACGGAGCAACGCCGCGUGAGUGAUGAAGGUCUUCGGAUCGUAAAGCUCUGUUAUUAGGGAAGAACAAAUGUGUAAGUAACUAUGCACGUCUUGACGGUACCUAAUCAGAAAGCCACGGCUAACUACGUG